CCUACGGGAGUGCAGCAGUGGGGAAUAUUGCGCAAUGGGCGAAAGCCUGACGCAGCGACGCAGCGUGAGGGAUGAAGGCCUUCGGGUUGUAAACCUCUUUCAGCGGGGACGAAGCGAAAGUGACGGUACCCGCAGAAGAAGCACCGGCUAACUACGUGCCAGCAGCCGCGGUAAUACGUAGGGUGCAAGCAUUGUCCGGAUUUAUUGGGCGUAAAGAGCUCGUAGGCGGCUUGUCACGUCGGGUGUGAAAACUUGGGGCUCAACCCCAAGCCUGCACUCGAUACGGGCUAGCUAGAGUGUUGCAGGGGAGACUGGAAUUCCUGGUGUAGCGGUGAAAUGCGCAGAUAUCAGGAGGAACACCGGUGGCGAAGGCGGGUCUCUGGGCAACUACUGACGCUGAGGAGCGAAAGCGUGGGGAGCGAACAGGAUUAGAUACCCUGGUAGUCCACGCCGUAACGGUAGGGCGCUAGGUGUGGGACCGUACCUACGUCUCUGUGCGCNGCUACGCAUAGCGCCCGCCGUCGGGAGGUACGGCCGGCCGACGGACGUAAAACCGUUAAAACGGUAAAGUUAGACGGCGUGAGACGUCGCCCGAACGGACGACCGACCGAGGGGAAGGUAGGG
rnacentral:rRNA from 1 species